rnacentral:misc_RNA from 1 species
GUGGGAGGGGGCUUGCCCCCGAUAGCGGUGGGUCAGUAGAGAUAUCUGUGACUGACACACUGCAAUCGGGGGCAAGCCCCCUCCCAC